CAGUUCGGAUCGAAGUCUGCAACCCAACUUCGUGAAGCUGGAUUCGCUAGUAAUCGCGCAUCAGCCAUGGCGCGGUGAAUACGUUCCCGGGCCUUGUACACACCGCCCGUCAAGCCAUGAAAGCCGGGGGUACCUGAAGUACGUAACCGCAAGGAUCGUCCUAGGGUAAAACUGGUAAUUGGGGCUAAGUCGUAACAAGGUAAC
rnacentral:rRNA from 1 species